rnacentral:rRNA from 1 species
GACGAACGCUGGCGGCGUGCCUAACACAUGCAAGUCGAACGGAGAGAUACGAGAGCUUGCUCUUGUAAAUCUUAGUGGCAAACGGGUGAGUAACGCGUAAACAACCUUCCCAACGGAUGGGGACAACAGACGGAAACGACUGCUAAUACCCACUAGCCUCCGGUUUCGCAUGACACCGACAGGAAAGGUGGCCUCUCGAAGAAGCUACCGCCGCCGGAGGGGUUUGCGUUUGAUUUGUUAGUUGGCGGGGUAACGGCCUACCAAGACGAAGAUCAAUAGCCGGGCUGAGGAGAUGGACCGCCAAAACGGAAACGAGAAACGGGCCAGAAUCCCACGGGAGGCAGCAGGGGGGGAUCUUCCGAAAUGGACGGAAGGCUGACGGAGGAACGCCGGGGUAGUGGAGAAGGCCUUCGGGUUGGAAAGCUCUGUUAUUCGGGAAGAACGAUUCGUUUGUAAAUAAUGAACGGAAGUGACGGUACCGAAAGAGAAAGCCACGGCUAACUACGUG